CCUCCUCCUCCUGGAAGAGAGAGGUGAUACAGAUUACACAGACAUACACUCCCUCAGGUAUAUACACACAGAUAAUUAACACAUUUUCAACAUGGAGUCUUUACCCAUCCCCACUAUGUUUGAGUCCUAUACUGUAGUUAGAGAAUGACUUUUUAAACCCAUUAUGGUGGACAUAAAUAUGUUGUGGGUAAAAACAAGUCAGCUAUGAUCAGCUAAGUCAAAAGUCAUCAGACAAACCUGACUAAACUAUUUUGAUGUGUACAGUAGGUGUUUGUUAGUGUGUGGGUAUAUUUAGUAAGUGUAUGAUGGUUAUAAAGCGCUGUCAGGUUUAUGCAGAAUCGGGUGAGAUCAGAGGUGAUGUAUACUGAAGAGAGUCUCAAUGAAAGUCAGAAUGAACAGUCCCAUUUUGUGUUUAUUAAACAGAAACAAGUUCUAAAUACACCAUAUGAAAACCACAUACACGUUUCUCUGCGUGCCUGGCAGACAUCUUAUCUCGGAUAUCGGCCCACCCCCUCAAGUUCAACCUUGACAAGACGGAGCUGCUUAUACUCCAGGGGAAGGCCUGCCAGCUCCAAUACCUCUGUAUCACGGUUGACAACUCCACGGUGUCCCCCUCUCAGAGUGCAAAGAAUAUCAAAGCAAUGACUCGCUCCUGCAGGUUCAUGCUCUACAACAUCUGUAAAGUACGACCCUUCCUCACACAGGAAGCGGCGCAGGUCCUAAUCCAGGCUGUGGCCACCUCUUGUUUACACGACUGCAAAUCUCUGUUGGAUGGGCUCCCCUCCUGUGCCAUCAAACCCCUGCAACUUAUCUAGAACGCUGCAACUUCCCAAGUUCUCCCAUGUCACCCCGCUCCUCCGCACACUCCACUGGCUUUCAGUCGAAGCUCGCAUCCACUAAAAUACCAAGAUACUUGCCUACGGAGCAGCAAGGCAAAUUGCCCCUCCCUACCUUCAGGCUAUGCUCAAACCCUACACCCCGACCUGAGCACUCCACCACCUCUGGUCUCUUGGCCAUCCCACCCCGAUGGGGGGGUCCCAUUCAGCCCAGUCAAAACUCUUCUCUGUCCUGGCACCCUAAUGGUGGAAUAAGCUUCCCCCUGAAGCUAGGACAGAAGAGGACAUGCUCCUCUUUCGAAAACGUCUAAAACCCUUCCUCUUCAAAGAAUAUGUUAAGUGAAUCCCCUGGCACUGAUCCACAAUGUUUUAGCCCUCCACCGUUAAAAUAUAAACAAGAAAUAAGUGAAAGAAAAAGGACAGAGCUCUCCACACGACCUCGCCAAUCAGUCUUGAGAGAGAGAGUGAGCGCUUGGUGACUUCUUGGUGAGUAAGUUCUGUCUCGUAUGACUGCUGGGUGUAUGUCAAACAGAUCAAGAGAUACAGUGCUUUCAGAAAAUAUUCAUACCUCUUGACUUAUUCCACAUUUUGUUGUGUUACAACGGAUUAAAUAGAUUGUCUCGCACAUCAUACCCCAUAAUGAGUGCGAAAGAGAAAAGUGAAAACAUGUUUUUAGACAUUUUUGCAAAUUUAUUGAAAAUGAAAUCUCAUUUACAUAGCUAUUCACACCCCUGAGUCAAUAAAUGUUAGAAGCACCUUUGGCAGCGAUUACAGCUGAGUCUUUAUGGGUAAGUCUCUAAGAGCUUUCCACAUCUGGAUUUUGCAACAUUUGCCCAUUAUUAUUUUCAAAAUUCUUUAAGCUCCGUCAAAUUGAUUGUUGAUCACUGCAAGACAACCAUUUUCAGGUCUUGCCCUAUUGUUAAAUCAAAACUACAGUAACUCGGCCAAUGAGAAACAUUCACAGUCUUCUUGGUAAGCAACCCCAGUGUAGAUUUGGCCUUGUGUUUCAGGUUAUUGUCCUGCUGAAAGGUGAAUUCUUCUCCCAGGGGCUGGUGGAAAGCAGACUGAACCAAGUUUUACUCUAGGAUUGUGCCUGUGGUUAGCUCCAUUCCGUUUCUUUUUAUUCCGAAACUCCCCAGUCCUUCACGAUUACAAGCAUACCCAUAACAGUGAUACUCAGUAAUGUGUUGAUUUUUCUCAAACACAACACUUUGUAUUCAGGACAAAAAGUUAAUUGCUUUAGCAAUUUUUUUGCAGGGUUACUUUAGUGCCUUGUUGCAAACAAGAUGCAAGAUUUGGAAUAUUUUUAGUCUGUACAGGCUUCCUUCUUUUCACUCUGUCAAUUAGGUUAGUAUUGUGGAGUAACUACAAUGGUGUUGAUCCAUCCCCAGUUUUCCAUCGAUCACAGCCAUUAAACUCUGUAAUUGGCCUGAUGGUGAAAUCCCUGAGUGUUUUCCUUCCUCUCUGGCAACUUAGUUCGGAAGGAUGCCUGUAUCCUUGUAGUAACUGGGUGUACUGGGUGUACACCAUCCAAAAUGUAAUUAAUAACUUCACCAUGCUCAAAGCGAUAUUCAAUGUCUGCUUUUUAUUUUUUACCCAUCUACCAAUAGAUGCCCUUCUUUGCGAGGUAUUGGUAAACAUACCUGGUCUUUGUGGUUGAGUCGGUGUUUGAAAUUCACUGCUCAACUGAGGGACCUUGAUGAUAAUUCUAUCUGUGGGGUACAGCGAUGAGGUAGUCAUGUUAAACACUAUCAUUGUACACAGAGUGAGUCUAUGCAAUUUAUUAUGUGACUUUAUUAUGUACUCAUGAACUUAUUUAGGCUUGCCAUAACAAAGGAAUUAAAUACUUAUUUGCUCAAGACAUUCAGCACUGAUCCAAGUCUGAUCGGAGUAGUUUGAUUCUUUGAUUUGUGUGUGAUUUUUACUUGUCCAUUUGGACAUCUUAAAUCAAUAUUCUACUUGUCCCAGUUUUUUUGACUGUUUCUUUUACUUUUCCCAGAUGAGAACAAGCGUUAAAGAGCAACUUCCCAUAAAAAGCAACUAAUCCCUUUGAAAACAGCCUAUGUGGUAUUGAUAUGAGUCAGAAACAUUUAUUAUUGUGUCAAAAUUGACUACAGUGUAAGUAGGAUCAUUUUGAUCAUAAAGUCAGUCUCGUCUAAAACGGAGUUUGGAACCUCAUCUUAAAAAUUAAUUUAAAAUGUUAAAUCUUUUCACUGUUUGUUCUUAAUUUAAGAUUAUGGUUAGGCAAAAGUUUAGCAUUGUGGUAAAGGCUAGGUUUAAAAUAAAAUUCUAAUAAGAUAAAUUGUAGAAAUAGGCUGGGUUUCUGACUGUGGCAACGACCUAGAAUUAGCUUGACCCAAGUUAACUACCCUUGUGACACAGAUGGCUUCAUCAACAAAUGGUAAUGUGUGUUAUAUAAAAAGUUGUAAACCAAAAAUACCCGGUUUGAUAAACUAGUAAUUACCCAGCCAAGCAGAUCCAAGUAGUAGAUAAUUUUGGUUGUGAAGUGAAUUAUCAAAAGCGUUCUCAUUUCUUUAUAACAAAAUGCAAUUAACCCCUUGGCUGUCUAUUGUAUCACCCUGUCACAGGCCCUCCCGGUCAACACCACCUCAUAACAUGAGGAAGUAAACUGUUUAUAAGGAUCGCCCGCUGCAGUUGUUUGAGAAAUGUCCAGUUUGCAGCCGAACAUCCAACACAGAGAAGACCAGCAAGGGGACCCUCAGCAUCACGCAGACAUUCCCUCGCUGUGAGCAUUCCUAUAAAACGGAACAGGGAGGACACUUGAGUCAGGUGCCACCAACCUCCUGUGGUUUGCAUGUGACCGACCAGUAUUUUGAUGAGGGUCCAGGAGCUGAUCUACGCUGGCAAAGACCACACCUCCAGCCUCACCUCGUUUGCUCAACGAUUGUUGACGGGUAGCCAAGAAUUAGAUGCAUCUAUGGAGCCAGCACUUGGAGACUUGCAAGAUGAUGUGCUGGAGUCCUGACCUACAGACAGGCUUGAUACUGACAUCUCUGAAUGGAGAGAAACAUGGCACUCGGCAUAAAAAUGUUACUAGACAACUUUUACUUGUAUCGUCUUUUUUUAUUAUUGAAUU